UUUCGCGCUAUCUUCCCUUCCUCGGUUAGUUUCUGCUCGUCGAUUCCAUCAACCACGACCUUCCUUUCUUGUGCUUCAAAUAUGCAAGACUCUGGUUCCAUCCCGUCGUCCGCUUGAGUAUUGGCAGGGCUGUUUAUAUGCAAAUGGUGAGACCUCUAUUGUAUGCAAAUGGCAGGGCUCACUGGUCAUAUAAUACAGGGUUGUAUGUAUACAUUAUGGUGGGGCUUCUGUUGUAAACAAAUGGUGUUGUAUAUAUGUUAUUGGCAGGGCUGUAUGUAUGUAUGGGCUUUAUGUAGGUAGGAAAGGGCCUGUUAUUUCUUAAAAAGACUAACUGUUAGGAAAGGAAAACAAUAGAGAUGAUAAGACUAACUAUUGUAUGCAAAUGACAGGGCUCAUAUAAUACAGGGUUGCAUGUAUACAUUAUUAUGGUGGGGCUCCUGUUGUAAACGAACGGUGCUAUAUGUAUGUUAUUGACCAUGUAUGGGCUGUAUGUAUGUUGGAAAGGACCAUUUAUUUCUUAUAAAGACUAAUUGUUAGGAAAGG